rnacentral:rRNA from 1 species
GAACUCGCUGUGAAGAUGCAGUGUACCCGCGGCAAGACGGAAAGACCCCGUGAACCUUUACUAUAGCUUGACACUGAACAUUGAGCCUUGAUGUGUAGGAUAGGUGGGAGGCUUUGAAGUGUGGACGCCAGUCUGCAUGGAGCCGACCUUGAAAUACCACCCUUUAAUGUUUGAUGUUCUAACGUGGACCCGUAAUCCGGGUUGCGGACAGUGUCUGGUGGGUAGUUUGACUGGGGCGGUCUCCUCCUAAAGAGUAACGGAGGAGCACGAAGGUUGGCUAAUCCUGGUCGGACAUCAGGAGGUUAGUGCAAUGGCAUAAGCCAGCUUGACUGCGAGCGUGACGGCGCGAGCAGGUGCGAAAGCAGGUCAUAGUGAUCCGGUGGUUCUGAAUGGAAGGGCCAUCGCUCAACGGAUAAAAGGUACUCCGGGGAUAACAGGCUGAUACCGCCCAAGAGUUCAUAUCGACGGCGGUGUUUGGCACCUCGAUGUCGGCUCAUCACAUCCUGGGGCUGAAGUAGGUCCCAAGGGUAUGGCUGUUCGCCAUUUAAAGUGGUACGCGAGCUGGGUUUAGAACGUCGUGAGACAGUUCGGUCCCUAUCUGCCGUGGGCGCUGGAGAACUGAGGGGGGCUGCUCCUAGUACGAGAGGACCGGAGUGGACGCAUCACUGGUGUUCGGGUUGUCAUGCCAAUGGCACUGCCCGGUAGCUAAAUGCGGAAGAGAUAAGUGCUGAAAGCAUCUAAGCACGAAACUUGCCCCGAGAUGAGUUCUCCCUGAGACUUAGAGUCUCCUGAAGGAACGUUGAAGACGACGACGUUGAUAGGCCGGGUGUGUAAGCGCAGCGAUGCGUUGAGCUAACCGGUACUAAUGAACCGUGAGGCUUAACCUU